rnacentral:rRNA from 1 species
UACGAAGGGGGGCUAGCGUUGCUCGGAAUCACUGGGCGUAAAGGGUGCGUAGGCGGGUUUUUAAGUCAGGGGUGAAAUCCUGGAGCUCAACUCCAGAACUGCCUUUGAUACUGGAAGAUCUUUGAGUCCGGGGAGAGGUGAGUGGAACUGCGAGUGUAGAGGUGAAAUUCGUAGAUAUUGGAAGAACACCAGUGGCGAAGGCG